rnacentral:rRNA from 1 species
UACAGAGGGUGCGAGCGUUAAUCGGAAUUACUGGGCGUAAAGCGUGCGUAGACGGUUACGUAAGUCGGGUGUGAAAGCCCCGGGAUCAACCUGGGAAUUGCAUUCGAGACUGCGCAGCUAGGGUGCGGAAGAGGGAAGCGGAAUUUCCGGUGUAGCGGUGAAAUGCGUAGAUAUCGGAAGGAACAUCAGUGGCGAAAGCGGCUUCCUGGUCCAGCACCGACGUUCAGGCACGAAAGCGUGGGGAGCAAACAGG